rnacentral:tRNA from 1 species
GGCCUCGUUGUUCAGCUGGUAGGUCGUGCGCUUACAAAGCAUAGGCGGCGUCCAUGCGUGGGUUCAAACCCCACCGAGGCUA